rnacentral:lncRNA from 1 species
AAGCCAGCAGGCAACCUGCUCCAGUCACCUUCCAUGCUGUGGAAGCUUUGUUCUUUCGCUGUUCACAAAAAAUCUUAUUGCUGCUCACUCUUUGGGUCUGUGCCACCUUUAAGAGCUGUAACACUCACCACAGAGGUCUGCAGCUUCAUUCUUGAAGUCAGUGAGACCAAGAAUCCAUCAGAAGGAACCAACUCUGGACACAUUAGGACAUGGGCCUGGAGCUGCUGGGGCCAUUUCUGCCACCUUGUAGGGACAGCCAGCUCGAGGAUGAAGUCAACAGAGAAGAACGGAAGCUGAGAAACAGAACUAAUCAUUCCACCUAGCACCUGGGUUCAGCCAGGACUAACACUGGUCAUGGGAACCCUGGAGCCCCACGGCAGAUGUCACAGAUUGGCUUGCUCACCUCUGUCUUAGUCUCCUGGAGGCAGUGAGGCCCUGCAGCUAGCACCUGGGAUAACAGCAUCCAUCUAAUCUCCAGGUCAUAGCAGAAAUAAUGCAGUUCUUGGAAACAGCAGUUGGGUCCCCCAGCUUUCUGAUUAUGGUGGAGGGAGCAGCUUCUCUGGCAAGAAACUUUGGCAGUGACAUUCUGGGACUCUUUCCUCGAAGCUGAGCCUGCAGCCUCCUCCCCCAGCCCUUCCAUGGGGUCAUAAUCCCCUAAUUCCCUGCAUUAAAUCCCUUUCUGGUGAAGCCAGCCAGAGUGGUGUCUAUGAUCUGCUGCUGCACGUGGACUGAUAUGUGGCCCAAUGAGGGAAAAGAAGGAGGACCAUUGGAGGACAUUCCUCUCCAGGGGCAGGUCGCUAGGCAGGAACCUGGGAUCCUGGGAAAAGCAUGGGAUCCUAUCAGUUUUUUCCUCUUGAGAUCCACAAAGGUAUAUAGGAAAGGAUGUGGAGAUAGCCAUGGGUGAUCGGGGUUUCUAAUCGCAACUCUUCUCAUCACUUGAUGCAUGCACAUUGGCCAUCCUGUGCCCCUUCCUUAGACUCAGGCAUCCCCAACAGUCCCACUCUCAUCUCUGACAUUCUGUGGCAUCGAGUCUCCAGUUACCAAGGGAGCUUUUUGGUAGUGGAGAAGCAGGCUGAGAUUUAGAGUAGACCCCUCUUUAAAUGUCACCGUGCAGUGCUUUCCUGUUUAAAGGGAGAUUGACAGCCACAAGCAACCUAAUGAGAUUGCUGCUCUGCCCCUUCUCUUAGCAG